CAACAUCCUACGUUGAAAAUGGACUAGACGAUACUGAUAAUAAUAAUGGUUUUAUGCAAAAUUGCAGUGCAACAGAUCACUCAACGGUUGCUGAGCAUGAAUUAACAUUUUUAGCGCUUGGAAUAGUUUCAACAUCCUAUGUUUAAUAUGGAUUAGAAGAUUGCAGUACAGCAGAUCUUUCAAGCCAUGAUGAAACAUGAAUUAUCGUUUUUAGCACUUGGGAAAAUUUGGACAUCCCAUGUUGAAAUUUGACUAGACAACUGA
rnacentral:lncRNA from 1 species